ensembl:lncRNA
AGAUGGUGAUCCAUGCUGUGGAAGUCUCACAUCUCCUGAUUUAAUGGAGCUGCUUUGCACUUUUUACACUGUUUAUUCACCAACACUUUAUUUAAUAAAAGUCCCAUCUAGUUUUUAUGAGGAAUGUGAUGUUUUAAUUUCUCUGUGAAUAACUGCAGUCUAAUGCAACAGCUGGAGUUGUAACAUCUGUCCUGAUAUUGAUCAUGAAGUAUUGAUCAGAAUACUUAUGGUUAGCAGUCAUCCCUGAAGUUUUACAUUAAAAUCUUUACUUGUGUUGUGAACUUUGGUAAGAAGCAGAAACUUUUGCGUUGCCAUGGAUACAUGAGUGUUAAAUUCUGUCCAUGUUUCCAUUUUGGGAAAUUCAGUCCAGUUCCAGAAUGUGGAGGAAUUUAGUCUCACAAUCACAGACAACAAAUAUUAUCUGAAAGUCGGGUUAUUGUUGUUUAUCAGCACAAUACAAAAAGAUUAAUGUUAGAAAUAUUCCAGUUAAGACUCUAGAAUAUCAUGAUUUAUGUAAAUUUACCUCAAUAAUAUGAAUGUUCAGGUUAAGAUUGUGCAGUGAUAUUUAUUAUGCAAGUUUAGCUGAUUAAAGUUUAUGACUCUGCACUAAAAUAUUAUUUAAAUUGACAUCAUUAUUAUAAUAUUUAGGGUCAGACCCUACAGUAUUGAGAUUAAGAAAUCAAAUAUUCUAUAAAAUGUAAAUACACUGAACUCAUUUGGAUAUAUUUAAGUGAGACUCUACAAUAUUAUUUGACACAAAUCUAUCUAAAUCAAAAUUUUAAUAAUUUUCACGCCAAACAUUUACUGGACUGAUUUAAAUAUUAAAAUCACUCCUUUCUAAUCCUCUGCUGUACGUUCAAACCUGAGGCCUUAAAUAGAAACACACAAGUAUCUGUUUGAAGGAACUUCUGCAGAGUCCUGGUUCCAGAACAUGAUGAUAGAAUUAUAGACAAACUUUAACAAAAGCUGCCUGAGAGUUUACAGGUUUUUAUGUUGGAUUUCUUCAGUAAUUUAAUGAGCGUUAUCAGCAAUAAUCAAGUGUUCAUUUGAUGAACUUCAUUUCCUAAAACAUCCAGAAUUGGAGCUCAUAUCUUUGGCAGCUGUAAAGUUUCUGCUCCUUCAAAGUUCACAACACAAUGAAUGAAUUCCUAAAACACUCUCAAUGCUGGAGAGCGUUUGUGAUGCUGAAGCAGUGACCAGUUUUUCUGUUUCUUCUCUGGAGAUGCACAAUGAGGGACGUCUGCAGCGACUGAGAAAGAGUCUCACCACAUCCUGACAUGAGGAAAAAGACUUUAUUGAAGACUACAAUGAGAAAAACUAUCAGACAGCAGACGGCUGCAUUCAAGCUGCGGAAUUCAUGGAUGAAUCAUCUGGCACUAGAGAGGAAGACCAUCAAACAUCCACGUCAGCUGAUGGAGGUCCAAGAGUCUCACCAAACAACCAACCUACAGAGUGAAGACCUCAAAUCUAAUUGGACGGCCUCCUAUUCAGCCACGUGUGAACAAAUGCCUC